AAAUUGAAGAGUUUGAUCAUGGCUCAGAUUGAACGCUGGCGGCAGGCCUAACACAUGCAAGUCGAACGGUAACAGGAAGAAGCUUGCUUCUUUGCUGACGAGUGGCGGACGGGUGAGUAAUGUCUGGGAAACUGCCUGAUGGAGGGGGAUAACUACUGGAAACGGUAGCUA
rnacentral:rRNA from 1 species